GUAAGUCUUUUCUUUAGCUCUCUGUUACCUAUAUAAAGUUUUGAAGCUGCUUGUUGUGGAUUCCUGCACACACUGACUGCCAGUCACCUGUUGAACCAACUGCUACUAGGAAACAUUUGUCUCCUGAACUAAAUAUACAACAGUUAUUUUCUCUCAUAUCUGCAAUCUUCCCAGCUCCAAUUCAAAAACAUGGGAAACGAGACUUCACGCUCAAAUACCCACGUGGCCAACGCAACUGGGAAGCAUCUUCGGAUUUUCUAUGGAGUGGAUACAAUGAGGCUGGAAGAAAUGGUGAUAAAUGUGGGAGCAGGAAUAGAAGGAACAGCAUCAAAAACUGGACCAUCAGUAUCAGGGAACAUUUCCAGUGAUGUGAAGAUGGUUUUUAAACCAGACUCCCGGAUCCGUUACAUUCACCUGCCCCAGAACGAAACAUGUAACUUUGCCGGGGAAGGCGCCAUCUAUGCCUCUGUCCUUUUGGAAGAUGAAAAGGACGACAAUGUCUGCAGUGGUGUCAUCUGCCAAAAUUUCCAUAUCCCCAGCGACAGGUCUUUUAUCGUUACUGCCAAUCAUACCAUCAAAUUGCAGAAGUAUGGUGCAAGCCUUUGGAUUGAUGAAAGCGGCCGUGACCAUCGAUAUUAACUACCACAACAACCACACAUGUCCUCUUUAUCCUCCUCCAUUAUCAUGUUGUGUUCUUAUUUUGAUUAGCAGAUAAGAUGGCCAAUUUGGCGAGGUUAAUUGGAAUGUGUACCAAAUGUUAUUCUGCUAAUAAAUUCCUGUAGGCCUAUCAACUUUGUAAUAGCUGAAAUAAUAAUUUGAAUGGGAAUUUUUACAUAAAGUUAGUUCUAAAUAAUAAGUCUAGUAAAAUUUUAUUUCAUGAACAAUAAAAAUUCUUUUUAAAUCC